UCUUCUAAUUAUUAAUGAAACAAUUAAUCAAAGCUCCUCUAUUAAUAAUCCAAAGCUCCCCCGUUCUCAAUAUAUACAAACCUCUCCUCUGUUUUCCUUUCAUACAGCCUACCUCCUCUGUUUUUUAAACGCAACCAUCUUCUAGUCCUAGCCCACUACUACUAAAAGCUUCCGCACCAAAUACCAACAGUGGUAUCAAAGCCACAAAUUCUAACAGUGGUAAAAGCCACAAAUUCUAACAGUUCCAUCUGGAGGUAAUAACAAAAUUAGCAUCAGAGUCGGGUACUUGAAGUGGUUGUGAACUGAUCAAUCAGCCUCUUACAGGUACAAGUCCGUCCGAGCCAUUCCUGCAUUCAGAGGGCUUCUCCUCUAUGCACAGGGCUCCCGGAUUAGUCAAGUUGAAUGUGCAUGGACUAGCUUCUGUGCUCUCCCAAUAAGUAGUACCGUUGAGAGUUAAAGUGGACUGCAUGAUUUGGCCCCAAGCAUUCAGUUCCCACCUUGAAAUGGAGCAUUUUGAAAGGUUCCAUUUUCCCAGACCCCACUGCUCCAGUAUACUUCAUCUCGCCUCCAGAUGAUCAAUUGGUUGGUGCUACCAGGAUCAACGCCAAGCCUAAAAACACCUGGUGCAGGGAUUUGAUCGCUGA